CCUACCGCCUCCUGUCCUUUGCCUUUAUUUUGUACCCUUUGCUUCGGCGGGGAGACCCGCCGGCGUGAUGGACAAGAAAUCCUUAGUUCAAAAGACUGUUGUCUGAGUUUUAAAGUAAAAUUAGCUGAAAACUUUCAACAACGGAUCUCUUGGUUCCGGCAACGAUGAAGAACGCAGCGAAAUGCGAUAAGUAAUGUGAAUUGCAGAAUUCAGUGAAUCAUCGAAUCUUUGAACGCAUAUUGCGCCCUCUGGUAUUCCGGAGGGCACACCUGUUCGAGCGCCAUUUACACCCUCAAGCUUUGCUUGGUGUUGGAUGGGGUCUCUACUUGGACCCCUUCCGAAACUUAGCGGGCACCACCUGUUAUACCGGGCGCAGCGAGCUUACGCACGCGCUAAGGUUAGUGGGGGGUUGCCCUAGUACUUUUUUUCCAAGGUUGGCCUCGGAUCAGGUGGGGAUACCCGC
rnacentral:rRNA from 1 species